UAUUGGACAAUGGGCGCAAGCCUGAUCCAGCCAUGCCGCGUGAGUGAAGAAGGCCUUCGGGUUGUAAAGCUCUUUCGGUGAAGACGAAACGGUCAGUGCUAAUAACAUUGACUAAUGACGGUACUCACAGAAGAAGCACCGGCUAACUACGUGCCAGCAGCCGCGGUAAUACGAAGGGGGCUAGCGUUGCUCGGAAUCACUGGGCGUAAAGCGCACGUAGGCGGAUCUUUAAGUCAGGGGUGAAAUCCUGGAGCUCAACUCCAGAACUGCCUUUGAUACUGGGGAUCUCGAGUCCGGGAGAGGUGAGUGGAACUCCGAGUGUAGAGGUGAAAUUCGUAGAUAUUCGGAAGAACACCAGUGGCGAAGGCGACUCACUGGACACGUAUUGACGCUGAGGUGCGAAAGCGUGGGGAGCAAAC
rnacentral:rRNA from 1 species